CCGAUAACCUGAAGGACAGAAAGGAAAACACGGUCAAAGGUUACACAGUACUCAGGUUAAAUGAUAAAAAACUUCUCGUAGUUGAUCAAUAGAUCAGCUGUUUAUUUUCUCGCGAUUUUCACGUUGAUGACAAAGUAGUUUCACAAACUUCUCGAAUGCUAUACCUGUUUCUAAUUAGCAAGAUGGUAAAAUUUGUCUUUCCUUGGCUUUCUGGCUUUAUUUUUCCUUCCCAUAGCUCUCAGCAAAGAAAACAUUCUUCACUCCACAUGCCGACUGGCAAAGAGUGGAUUCUCUUACGGCACUGUCCUCUGUCUCAUGUAUGAUGAGAUGAUGAGUACAACCAAAUAUGCACCAGGGUCAAGUCUUUGGACCACUUGAUCUCAAAAAAAGACUGGAUCGAGCAUCUAUAAGGGCAAAAAGUGAGACUAAUGAAGUGUUCACACCUAGAAAAAAAGCAAUUGUGUGAGAACCACACCACUAAAGAGUAAAGUAAGAUGCCUUCUCGUAGCUUGCAAGUUAAUUUACUCUUUUGUUGAUUUAGUUAUCGAUUGUAAAGUGACAGUUUGUCUGAAUUUUUUAAGGCUUAUGAGUUUAGGGUCAGAGGCAAACCUGGUUUAAUGUUUAGGUAAAAGCGAAAUUGGUUUCAAAAUUUCAUUGUAAUGGUAGAGACAAAGGAACAACACAAGAAAAUAAAGUUUAAGUG